AUUGAACGCUGGCGGCAUGCCUUACACAUGCAAGUCGAACGGCAGCACGGGAGCAAUCCUGGUGGCGAGUGGCGAACGGGUGAGUAAUAUAUCGGAACGUGCCCAGUCGUGGGGAUAACGUAGCGAAAGCUACGCUAAUACCGCAUACGAUCUAUGGAUGAAAGCGGGGGAUCGCAAGACCUCGCGCGAUUGGAGCGGCCGAUAUCAGAUUAGGUAGUUGGUGAGGUAAAGGCUCACCAAGCCGACGAUCUGUAGCUGGUCUGAGAGGACGACCAGCCACACUGGGACUGAGACACGGCCCAGACUCCUACGGGAGGCAGCAGUGGGGAAUUUUGGACAAUGGGCGCAAGGCCUGAUCCAGCAAUGCCGCGUGCAGGAUGAAGGCC
rnacentral:rRNA from 1 species